UGUGGCGCAUGCCACGCUUUUGAAAGAUGGUUUCGGCUAUCGCUUACAGAUGGGCCCGCGGUGCAUUAGCUAGUUGGUAGGGUAAUGGCCUACCAAGGCAACGAUGCAUAGCCGACCUGAGAGGGGGAUCGGCCACACUGGGACUGAGACACGGCCCAGACUCCUACGGGAGGCAGCAGCAGGGAAGCUACCGCCAUGGACGCAAGACUGACGGAGCCACGCCGCCAGUAUGAAGAAGGUUUUCGGAUCGUAA
rnacentral:rRNA from 1 species